rnacentral:rRNA from 1 species
GAUGAACGCUGGCGGCGUGCCUAAUACAUGCAAGUCGAGCGAACGGACGAGAAGCUUGCUUCUCUGAUGUUAGCGGCGGACGGGUGAGAAACACGUGGAUAACCUACCUAUAAGACUGGGAUAACUUCGGGAAACCGGAGCUAAUACCGGAUAAUAUUUUGAACCGCAUGGUUCAAAAGUGAAAGACGGUCUUGCUGUCACUUAUAGAUGGAUCCGCGCUGCAUUAGCUAGUUGGUAAGGUAACGGCUUACCAAGGCAACGAUGCAUAGCCGACCUGAGAGGGUGAUCGGCCACACUGGAACUGAGACACGGUCCAGACUCCUACGGGAGGCAGCAGUUGGGAAUCUUCCGCAAUGGGCGAAAGCCUGACGGAGCAACGCCGCGUGAGUGAUGAAGGUCUUCGGAUCGUAAAACUCUGUUAUUAGGGAAGAACAUAUGUGUAAGUAACUGUGCACAUCUUGACGGUACCUAAUCAGAAAGCCACGGCUAACUACGUG